rnacentral:rRNA from 1 species
AUUGAACGUUGGCGGAAUGCUUUACACAUGCAAGUCGAGCGGCAGCACGGGGGCAACCCUGGUGGCGAGCGGCGAACGGGUGAGUAAUACAUCGGAACAUGCCCAGUCGUGGGGGAUAACACUUCGAAAGAAGUGCUAAUACCGCAUACGUCCUGAGGGAGAAAGCGGGGGAUCUUCGGACCUCGCGCGAUUGGAGUGGCCGAUGUCAGAUUAGAUAGUUGGUGGGGUAAAGGCCUACCAAGGCAACGAUCUGUAGCUGGUCUGAGAGGAUGAUCAGCCAAACUGGGACUGAGACACGGCCCAGACUCCUACGGGAGGCAGCAUGGGGGAAUUUUGGACAAUGGGGGCAACCCUGAUCCAGCCAUUCCGCGUGAGUGAAGAAGGCCUUCGGGUUGUAAAGCUCUUUCGGCAGGAACGAAACGGCGAGCUCUAACAUAGCUUGCUAAUGACGGUACCUGAAGAAGAAGCACCGGCUAACUACGUGCCAGCAGCCGCAGUAAAAC